GACGAACGCUGGCGGCGUGCUUAACACAUGCAAGUCGAGCGGAGCGGCGAACGGGUGAGUAAAGCGUGAGUAACUGCCCCCCUCUCUGGGAUAACAGUUGGAAACGGCUGCUAAUACCGGAUAGUGGGGGAUGACUCGCGUCCUAUCAGCUUGUUGGUGGGGUAGUGGCCUACCAAGGCGACGACGGGUAGCCGGCCUGAGAGGGCGACCGGCCACAUUGAGCUGAGAUAAGGCCCAAACUCCUACGGGAGGCAGCAGUGGGGAAUAUUGCACAAUGGGGGAAACCCUGAUGCAGCGACGCCGCGUGAUUUAGAAGGCCUUCGGUGUUUAAAAAUCUUUCAGCGAGGAGGAAGGUUAAUAACCUUGGUGAUUGACUUUACUCGCAGAAGAAGCACCGGCUAACUCCGUGCCAGCAGCCGCGGUAAUAC
rnacentral:rRNA from 1 species